rnacentral:rRNA from 1 species
GUGGGGAAUCUUGCGCAAUGGGCGAAAGCCUGACGCAGCCAUGCCGCGUGAAUGAUGAAGGUCUUAGGAUUGUAAAAUUCUUUCACCGGGGACGAUAAUGACGGUACCCGGAGAAGAAGCUCCGGCUAACUUCGUGCCAGCAGCCGCGGUAAUACGAAGGGGGCUAGCGUUGCUCGGAAUUACUGGGCGUAAAGGGCGCGUAGGCGGACAGCUUAGUCAGAGGUGAAAGCCCAGGGCUCAACCUUGGAAUUGCCUUUGAUACUGGCUGUCUUGAGUACGGGAGAGGUGAGUGGAACUCCGAGUGUAGAGGUGAAAUUCGUAGAUAUUCGGAAGAACACCAGUGGCGAAGGUGACUCACUGGCCCGUUACUGACGCUGAGGCGCGAAAGCGUGGGGAGCAAACAGGAUUAGAUACCCGUGUAGUCC